GUCUGUUUAGGUUAUAGUCUUUCUUGUGCAGUUCCUUGUGAGGAGAGCCUCCACUCAGGUUUCUUAAAGAACGUCUGGUCAGUGGUGGGUCUUUACAGCACCCACGUCAUGCAACUCCUUUCAAGCUGAGAGUUAUUCACAGUCCCAGAGUGGAUGCCCUUCCCGAUCCCAACCACACAGACACACUCCAUGUCCUCGUUGGUAAGAUGGGAGGGUGAACGCCACCCUGCCUGCCUCCUCGAGUGAGGGGCCCCGAGCAUCUGCUGGAUGAAGGAUCAAGGAACAGGACCCACAGCUUCCUGCCUCUGCAUGGACCCGGACACCCGCUAGGCUUGGGCCUCAUACCCGAUGUCUUCAGCACAGGCAGCCUGCAGAGGAAUCUUGGACAGCCGCUGCCACGGCCAUUCCUGCUCCCCUUUUUCUGCUCCAGAGCACAUAUAUAGCAAGCACAGCGGUUUCUGGAGCUUGAUGCCCGGUUUUCCCAGCACCUGACACGGGGAGUCCGUGCACCAGAAGGGGAUGUUUGGGGUCUUGUGCGCUUAUUAGUGUAGUAAUUGGAACAUUCGUGGUUCUUCCUGCCAAGUGUCCGAAGACGUGACAUUAAAAUCUCUCCAUUUGGCAUUGGUGGCUCAGGAGGGGCGUCCCACUGGCACAUGGGGCUGGAGCGGAAGAGCUGGAGGUCAUCGUGACCCCUGCUCCUAAGGCCUUCACCUCCCUGUCCAGGAUCAUCAGACUUGCAUUUCCAUGUGAAUGAGCCAAGGGAAGAGAGUGUUUCUGAGUUUUAUGGGUCUUUCAUUCUUUUCUUUUCUUUAAAAAAUUGGACCAGAAAACCCAGUCCUUUCAGCUUUUUCCUCUCCCUGGAGUCCUGCUGGUGCGUAUUACCACUAAUAGGGCCUUGGGCCCUGCCAACUCAAAAUGAAGAACAGGUCCACGCUGCAUCUGUGGCCUAAUGAGGAGCCCUGAAUGGAAAUGAGAAUCGAACGUGCAUUGAAAAUAUUCAGUUCUCAGCCAGGUUGUCCCUGCCCUGUCCCUUGCCCUCUCAGGGUCCCGAGUCCAGUGCCAGCAGAAGGUGACCUGCCAAGCUGAUACCCUGUGUAACUUGGGGAAGGGCACUUGAAUGGGACCUGAAAGCACACUCUGAACUCAUUUUCUGUCUGCCCAGCAACUGCCAAAGCAGGGGCCGAAGUGCGGGGGUAAGUGGAAAUGGGAACGGGGUGCACAUGACUGAACGGAAUGAAAAAUCCAAGGGGGUAGGGAGCAGGAAAUCAGACACGGGGUGGCAGCCUGAAAAUCCGUUGCUAGGAAUUUCACUCUACUCUGAGCAUUGAUUGGGAAAUUCGACCAGUGUCUUUAAUGGAAAAAAACAGGGGAGGGGGUUUGGCAGAGAAAACAUGGUCCAGGGCCUGGCACUGGGACAGGUUAGCUGCAGGGACUUGAGUGAGUUCUGUCUGAGUCUCAGCUCCCUCCUGUGUGGACUGGAGUAGGCAGUACGUGCUUGACCCAUUGCCCAAGCCCAUCAUGAGGACUUUGAGACCCACAGUCCGUGGAAGGGCUCCAGCAAGUGGGAGGUAUUUCAGAUUAUUAAAGGUCUUUUUGGCAAAUGAAUUUGUUAGAAAUCUGGAGGUAAUAAAGUCAGGUAAGCUGCUAGGAAAUUGGUUAGGUAGGCUUGAAAGUGGGGAACCCCCGAAACUGUGAGGGUUCAGCUAAUAAAAUCAACACUCAGUAUUAAAAGACAAGUUACUCAGGCCAAACUGAGUGGAGCAACUUGAUGGUAGCCAAAGUGAUAUCCAUGUUGUUAAAGAGCAUGUCGACAAAGGUGCAUGGCCAUUAUGAAAACCUGGGGAGUGGAGCACGGACAGGGUGUAUCCGGAACAGUCCCGGGGACAUGAUGGGGAGACACUCCUAUGUGUAGAUGGGCCACCUUGGCUUCAUUCCCUUUGGACCAUACAGCUAGUUUCCUUCCUUGGCUUCAUGUUCACCAAACCUCCUGAUCAUGUCCUAGAUCACAUGGAAAUUUCUUUCCAGGGACAAAUGUACAGCUCAGAGAACUUUGCAAUAUUCUCUAAGACACUUUUUAUUUUUCUGUAAGACAGUCUAUGAGAUUGUCCUUCUGUAUAUAUCAGCCCCCUGUGACUUUGAUUUGUAUAAAUCAUUU